AACGCAUCUUGCGCUCCCUGGUAUUCCGGGGAGCAUGCCUGUUUGAGUGUCAUGGACUCUUCAACCCCCCUGUUCCUUGUUUGAACGGGGACGGCUUGGAUCCUGAGCUCCUGCUGGCCGAAAGGUCGAGCUGGCUCGUAAUGCAUUAGCAACUCAAUUUCGAACAUUCGGAUUGACUCGGCGUAAUAGACUAUUCGCGCUGAGGACACUAGCAAUGGUGGCCGAAUUUCGAGGUAGUAGCUUCCAACCCUUGGAAAGUCAACCCCAAGAUUAGACCUCAGAUCAGGUAGGAUUACCCGCUGAACUUAA
rnacentral:misc_RNA from 1 species